GGGGAUGUGGCUCAAGUGGUAGGGCGCUCGCCUAGCAUGUGUGAGGCACUGGGUUCAAUUCUCAGCACCACA
rnacentral:tRNA from 1 species